rnacentral:rRNA from 1 species
GGCGACGACCAGUCGUCCUACGGGGUGAGCGUGGUGGACGGCUUCAACGUGGGCCUGUUGGUGACCCCGCACGAGGGCCGCGGCAACUGCCCUGUCCUCGCCUGCCGCAAGGACCUGACGCAGACCUGCCCCGGCGAGCUGCAGGUGCGGCAGCCGGGCGGCGGUGUCGCCGCGUGCAAGAGCGGUUGUCUGGUGUUCGGCACCAACGAGUUGUGCUGCCGCAACGCGUACAACAGCCCGGCCGCCUGCCGCCCCUCCAAGUACUCGGACUUCUUCAAGAGCGAGUGCCCGCGGGCCUUCACCUACGCCCACGACAGCCCCUCCCUCACCCACCAGUGCUCCGCGUCGUGCGAGCUCAAAGUCAUCUUCUACCACUAG